rnacentral:rRNA from 1 species
UACGUAGGAGGCAAGCGUUGUCCGGAUUUAUUGGGCGUAAAGCGCCCGCAGGCGGCUUGAUAAGUUUCAGGUGAAAUCUCCCGGCUCAACCGGGAGGGUGCCUGGAAAACUAUCAGGCUUGAGUCAUGGAGAGGGAUGUGGAAUUCCCGGUGUAGUGGUGAAAUGCGUAGAUAUCGGGAGGAACACCAGUGGCGAAGGCGGCAUCCUGGCCAUGUACUGACGCUCAGGGGCGAAAGCGUGGGGAGCAAACCGG